UUAUAACAUGACCCCAGACCGACACUUGGGGUAAGUAGGCUGAGGUGUCUUUUUGUCCCGUGGGUCCCCCUGAAGCUCAGGACCCUUGCGGGUGUCAGGGUGCCAGCCCUUGAGCGGCCAGCCUGGCAGUGUCUCCCAUGUUCUGUGCGGCCUGGAGAGCCCCUUCGUUCUGGGCCCAGAUGUGCAAAGGCACAGGGUCCAGGCGGGGGCCUCUGUCUCUCCUCUCUCUUCCCAAGUGUCUAGGUGGGUGCCUCUGUCUCUCCUCUCUCUUCCCAAGUGUGCUGCCCACAGCAUUUUACCAGCUGGCUCUUUCCAGCCAGAGUGGCCUAGGAAGGCGGCUGGGUGUGGUACUGGGGUCCAGCUUGUCACACCCAGCCCUGCAACUGUGGGGACAGUGCACCGUGGCUCACACCCCCACCCCCGUGUUCCAGAGCUGCCUGGAUUGACAAGUGCCGCCCCAACCUGCUCAUCACAGAGUCCACGUAUGCCACGACCAUCCGUGACUCCAAGCGCUGCCGGGAGCGAGACUUCCUGAAGAAAGUCCACGAGACCGUGGAGCGUGGUGGGAAGGUGCUGAUACCCGUGUUCGCGCUGGGCCGCGCCCAGGAGCUCUGCAUCCUCCUGGAGACCUUCUGGGAGCGCAUGAACCUGAAGGUGCCCAUCUACUUCUCCACGGGGCUGACUGAGAAGGCCAACCACUACUACAAGCUGUUCAUCCCCUGGACCAACCAGAAGAUCCGCAAGACUUUCGUGCAGAGGAACAUGUUUGAGUUCAAGCACAUCAAGGCCUUCGACCGGGCUUUUGCCGACAACCCAGGACCGAUGGUUGUGUUUGCCACGCCAGGAAUGCUGCACGCUGGGCAGUCCCUGCAGAUCUUCCGGAAAUGGGCCGGAAAUGAAAAGAACAUGGUAAGGGUAUGGUGAGGUGCGGGAACCUGGAAGCUGGAGGCCGGCGGGUUGUCCUUCCACCCACGCUGUCUCUGAGCUCUCGCUGGCCUGGCCUCGCGCUGGUCAAGGGACGUGGCUGCUGCUGCUGGGGAACAGGGGCGAUGUCCGCCUGGAGCUGCUCAGUCUCUCUGUGACGCAGCCCGUCCACCUCAGGCAGAACAGCCCCAGCCCAGCCCUGGACAGUCUUGUGCCAAAACCUGAGCCCUUUGGAGUCUGCAGCUAGGCUUGGUCGGGCACCGCUGGCAGGUGGAAGCAGCUUCCAGGGCUUCAGGUGGGGGCAUCCUGGGGAAGGCCUUGAGGUGCCAAGGCUGGAGCCCCCUGGCUGUGAGCUCUGUGCCCGCCCAGGUCAUCAUGCCCGGCUACUGCGUGCAGGGCACCGUCGGCCACAAGAUCCUCAGCGGUCAGCGGAAGCUCGAGAUGGAGGGGCGGCAGGUGCUGGAGGUCAAGAUGCAGGUGGAGUACAUGUCAUUCAGUGCACACGCAGACGCCAAGGGCAUCAUGCAGCUGGUGGGCCAGGCAGAGCCGGAGAGCGUGCUGUUGGUGCAUGGCGAGGCCAAGAAGAUGGAGUUCCUGAAGCAGAAGAUCGAGCAGGAGCUCCGGGUCAGCUGCUACAUGCCGGCCAAUGGUGAGACGGUGACGCUGCCCACAAGCCCCAGCAUCCCCGUAGGCAUCUCGCUGGGGCUGCUGAAGCGGGAGAUGGCGCAGGGGCUGCUCCCUGAGGCCAAGAAGCCUCGGCUCCUGCACGGCACCCUGAUCAUGAAGGACAGUGUGAGUGCCAGGACGGCCUCUGGAGGGGGGAGGGCUGCUGCUGCGCUCCCUGACCUGUCCCUGCCCCACAGAACUUCCGGCUGGUGUCCUCAGAGCAAGCCCUCAAAGAGCUGGGUCUGGCUGAGCACCAGCUGCGCUUCACCUGCCGCGUGCACCUGCAUGACACGCGCAAGGAGCAGGAGACGGCGUUGCGCGUCUAUAGCCACCUCAAGAGGUGGGCACCCGGCCCCACCCCCCCCACUCCCUUGGGCCCUGGGGGCCAGGCAGGGUCUCACUGAGCCUCCCCACAGCAUCCUGAAGGACCACUGUGUGCAGCACCUCCCAGACGGCUCUGUGACUGUGGAGUCCAUCCUCAUCCAGGCCGCCGCCCCUUCUGAGGACCCAGGCACCAAGGUGCUGCUGGUCUCCUGGACCUACCAGGAUGAGGAGCUGGGGAGCUUCCUCACAUCUCUGUUGAAGAAGGGCCUCCCCCAGGCCCCCAGCUGAGGCCGGCAGCUCACCCAGCCACCACCUCUGCCCUCUCCCAGCUGGACAGACCGGGGCCUGCACUUCAGGACUGUGGGUGCCCUGGGUGAACAGACCCCACAGGUCCCAUCCCUGGGGACAGAGGCCUUGUGUCACGCGCCUGCCCAGGCAGCUGUUUCCAGCUAAAGAAAUAAACUGGCCUCCGGGCUGUCUUGCCUUUAUUCCUGCUUCUGGGCCCCCAAAUGGUUAGGGCAGGUGAUCCCAGACAGCGGUUUCCAGUAAAAACUGAACAAAAGACUACUUGGUACUCUC
rnacentral:sRNA from 1 species